rnacentral:lncRNA from 1 species
UUGAGAAAGAAAAUUGGAGUAUGCAGCAGCUACUGAUCCAAGGAGGAGUUUGUUGGUUUUUUGAUGUAUCAGUACUGCUGUUUUUAGACUAAAGUUUCUCUGUUCUGUUUUUUAUACUGUUCUAGUUUAUUUUUCUCACUUAGUCAAUUAUGUUAUGCAGUUGUUGUUGUGUUAUUUAGGAAGUUAAGCACUUGUUCAGGUGCAGUUACAAGCUGAACGUGUGUGUGUGUGUGUGCAGUUAUUUUUUUUUUUGGUUUAAGUCGUGUUCUGUACUUGACUUUUUUAUUAGAACUGCAGAAGACAGUUUCCAUGCUCUGUUCUCUCUGUUUCCUCUGUUUUUUUCAUCUUUCUUCCUCGAUAUCUAUAGUUCUG